GCUCUCCUCGUGCUUCAGAUGUACCAUUCAGCUUCCUUGUUGCUUUUACUCCUCCAAGUAAUAUUUUGGAAUAGUUCUAAUUAUACAGCAUACUUAGAUUUCACACACCAUUAUUAGCAAAUACAUGUUUACUCUGGCUUUCCUCGUUUCAGCUGAAUCUGUGAGCUAUAUCCCACGUAAUAACUUCGACUGAAAAAUACUUGGAUCCAUUCUGUGCUAAGGUGAAUUUAUUAUCCUUUUUUGUCAUUAGGGACAAAUUCUUCUACACCUUUAGGUCUGAGUUUUCAGAGGACUACAGCUCCCAUGAUCCCCAAGAAGAACUGGACCUGAGCUUCAACAGCGAUGCACUUUGGGAAGAGGAGGAAGUACACAAAAAAAAUUCCCUUGCUUAAGCAAGAGAAGUAAAGUUUGAAGAUACAAGACCUUGGAUGAAGCUCCUGUCAGCAGCUGAGUCUGAUCAAGCACUGUGUGCAUCUGACAGCCAGCUUGGCACCACCUCACCACAUGCAGCAACUGGGCUCCAAUGGAUUUCAUGUGCAAGGCCAAGGGAUGGUGAAGGUGGCCCUUCCUCUGCUAAGCUGCUGCUGGGAGACAGGGGAGCUGGACCCCUCUGCCGUUGCAUCCCACCGUGAGGACUCCAGGCUCCAGGGUGAGGGGUGUCAGGAGAGGAAGCCCCCAGCGAGUCAGUGACCACGGGUGCUGCUGUCCUGGUGCUCCUCCAACAGCCCUUCCAGCAGGGCACUGGCCCUGCUGCUGCCCCUCUUCAGCUUGGAGGAAAUGUUUGCCAGUGACUCAGGGAACAGGGGCUGGAGCUUUAGGGAUAAACUCUUUUUUCACAGGCAAAUGAGUGAGAAGUGUUUCCAACAAAUGGGCAUACAUACAGUUGUCCUGCUACUGGAGAUAUCGGAAAUGUCCCUUAUAAUAGCCCUUAAAGUAAAAUGGAAGGAAAUUUCAAGCA